GAUGAAGAACGUAGCGAAAUGCGAUAAGUAGUGUGAAUUGCAGAAUUCAGUGAAUCAUCGAAUCUUUGAACGCACAUUGCGCCUCCUGGUAUUCCGGGAGGCAUGUCUGUUCGAGCGUCAUCAAAAACCUCAACCCAUGAUUUAUUGUGAGUUGGUUCUGCAUUGGACUCCUUGUGGGUCCUUUGCGAAAUCCAAUGGCGAAGAGCCACGCAACCAAAGCGUAGUAUAACUAUUUCGUUAUGGAAGCGUGGGUGCCUCUGCCGUAACCCCCAAUUUCUUAGUUUUUGACCUCGGAUCAGGUAGGGAUACCCGCUGAACUUAAGCAUAUCAAUAAGCGGAGGA
rnacentral:misc_RNA from 1 species